UACAGAGGGUGCAAGCGUUAAUCGGAUUUAUUGGGCGUAAAGGGCGUGUAGGCGGAUAUUUAAGUCGGAUGUGAAAUCCCUGGGCUUAACCUAGGAAUUGCAUUCGAUACUGAAUGUCUAGAGUGUGGUAGAGGGAAGUGGAAUUUCCGGUGUAGCGGUGAAAUGCGUAGAUAUCGGAAAGAACACCAGUGGCGAAGGCGACUUCCUGGACCAACACUGACGCUAAGGCGCGAAAGCGUGGGGAGCAAACAGG
rnacentral:misc_RNA from 1 species